GUGGUUAAGUUACUAAGGGCACACGGUGGAUGCCUUGGCGCUAGGAGCCGAAGAAGGACGCAGCGAACUGCGAUAAGCCUCGGGGAGCGGUAAGCACGCUUUGAUCCGGGGAUCUCCGAAUGGGGCAACCCACCAUCUGUAAUGGGAUGGUAUCCUUCACUGAAUCCAUAGGUGAUGAGAGGGCAGACCCGGUGAACUGAAACAUCUAAGUAGCCGGAGGAAGAGAAAACAAUAGUGAUUCCGUCAGUAGUGGCGAGCGAACGCGGAAGAGCCUAAACCGUCGGGUUUACCCGGCGGGGUUGUGGGGCGUCUCACAUGGAGUUACAAAGGAUGGAUGUAGAUGAACAGUCUGGGAAGGCUGACCAAAGAGCGUGACAGUCGCGUAAUCCAAACAUCCAUCCCUCCGAGACCAACCCCGAGUAGCGCGGGACACGUGAAAUCCCGUGUGAAUCUGGCAGGACCAUCUGCUAAGGCUAAAUACUACCUAGCGACCGAUAGUGAACCAGUACCGUGAGGGAAAGGUGAAAAGCACCCCGGGAGGGGAGUGAAACAGUACCUGAAACCGUGUGCUUACAAAUAGUCGGAGCCCGUUAAAAGGGUGACGGCGUGCCUUUUGUAGAAUGAACCGGCGAGUUACGGUAGCGUGCGAGGUUAAGUCGAAGAGACGGAGCCGCAGCGAAAGCGAGUCUGAAUAGGGCGCAAGUACGUUGCCGUAGACCCGAAACCGUGUGAUCUAGCCAUGUCCAGGGUGAAGGUAGGGUAACACCUACUGGAGGCCCGAACCCACGCACGUUGAAAAGUGCGGGGAUGAGGUGUGGCUAGCGGUGAAAUUCCAAUCGAACUCGGAGAUAGCUGGUUCUCCCCGAAAUAGCUUUAGGGCUAGCCUCGGAAUGGGACCCCGCCGGACGCGAGCGUAAGCUUGUGUUCGGUGGGACCCUUGAGAGUCUUGGAGGUAGAGCACUGAUUGGGCUAGGGGCCCUCAUCGGGUUACCGAACUCAGUCAAACUCCGAAUGCCAAUGACUUAUGUCCGGGAGUCAGACGGUGAGUGCUAAGAUCCAUCGUCAAAAGGGAAACAGCCCAGACCAUCAGCUAAGGUCCCCAAGUAUACGUUAAGUGGGAAACGAUGUGGAGUUGCCCAGACAACCAGGAUGUUGGCUUAGAAGCAGCCACCAUUUAAAGAGUGCGUAAUAGCUCACUGGUCGAGUGACUCUGCGCGGAAAAUGUAACGGGGCUAAACGUAUCACCGAAGCUAUGGCAGUCCUUAUGGACUGGGUAGGGGAGCGUUCCAAGCAGCGGUGAAGCCGUACUGGAAAGAGCGGUGGAGCGCUUGGAAGUGAGAAUGCCGGUGUAAGUAGCGAAAAGACAAGUGAGAAUCUUGUCCACCGAAAGCCUAAGGGUUCCUGGGGAAGGCUCGUCCUCCCAGGGUUAGUCGGGACCUAAGCUGAGGCCGAAAGGCGUAGGCGAUGGACAACAGGUUGAUAUUCCUGUACCACCUCUGUUCCGCUUGAGUGAGUGGCGUGACGCAGGAGGAUAGGGUGAGCGGCCUACUGGAUGGCCGUCCAAGCAGUAAGCCUGGUGUGUAGGCAAAUCCGCACACCGCUAAGGGCAAGCUGUGAUGGCGAGGGAAAUUUUAGUACCGAAGUCCCUGAUUUCACACUGCCAAGAAAAGCGUCUAGCGAGGAACAAGGUGCCCGUACCGCAAACCGACACAGGUAGGCGAGGAGAGAAUCCUAAGGUGCGCGGGAUAACUCUUGCUAAGGAACUCGGCAAAAUGGCCCCGUAACUUCGGGAGAAGGGGCGCCCCGGUAGGGUGAGGGUCCCCGCCCAACGUGAGCGUAAGCUUGCGUUGGGUGGGCUGAGCCCGAGGGGGCCGCAGUGAAAAGGCCCAAGCGACUGUUUAGCAAAAACACAGGUCUCUGCGAAGCCGCAAGGCGAAGUAUAGGGGCUGACGCCUGCCCGGUGCUGGAAGGUUAAGGGGAUGAGUUAGCGCAAGCGAAGCUUUGAACCGAAGCCCCAGUAAACGGCGGCCGUAACUAUAACGGUCCUAAGGUAGCGAAAUUCCUUGUCGGGUAAGUUCCGACCCGCACGAAAGGCGUAACGACUUGGGCGCUGUCUCGGCAAGAGACCCGGUGAAAUCAUAAUACCUGUGAAGAUGCAGGUUACCCGCGACAAGACGGAAAGACCCCAUGGAGCUUUACUGUAGCCUGGUAUUGGAACUUUGUGCAUCAUGUACAGGAUAGGUGGGAAGCUGAGAAGCAGGGGCGCCAGCCUCUGUGGAGCUGUCGGUGGGAUACCACCCUUGAUGUACGGAGUUUCUAACUCGUCGCCCUCAUCGGGCGAGAGGACCAUGCCAGGUGGGCAGUUUGACUGGGGCGGUCGCCUCCUAAAAGGUAACGGAGGCGCCCAAAGGUUCCCUCAGAAUGGUCGGAAAUCAUUCGUAGAGUGUAAAGGCAGAAGGGAGCUUGACUGCGAGACCUACAAGUCGAGCAGGGACGAAAGUCGGGCUUAGUGAUCCGGUGGUUCCGCAUGGAAGGGCCAUCGCUCAACGGAUAAAAGCUACCCUGGGGAUAACAGGCUUAUCUCCCCCAAGAGUCCACAUCGACGGGGAGGUUUGGCACCUCGAUGUCGGCUCAUCGCAUCCUGGGGCUGAAGUAGGUCCCAAGGGUUGGGCUGUUCGCCCAUUAAAGCGGUACGCGAGCUGGGUUCAGAACGUCGUGAGACAGUUCGGUCCCUAUCUGUCGCGGGCGCAGGAAGUUUGAGGAGAGCUGUCCUUAGUACGAGAGGACCGGGAUGGACGCACCUCUGGUGCACCAGUUGUCACGCCAGUGGCAUAGCUGGGUAGCUAUGUGCGGACGGGAUAAGCGCUGAAAGCAUCUAAGCGUGAAGCCCCCUCCAAGAUGAGACUUCCCACAGCGUUAAGCUGGUAAGACCCCUCAUAGACGAUGAGGUUGAUAGGUUCGGUGUGGAAGCGCGGCAACGCGUGGAGCUGACGAAUACUAAUCGGUCGAGGACUUAUCCACA
rnacentral:rRNA from 1 species